UAAUACAGAGGUGGCAAGCGUUGUUCGGAAUUACUGGGCGUAAAGGGCGCGUAGGCGGCCAUCUAAGUCAGACGUGAAAUCCCCCGGCUUAACCUGGGAACUGCGUCUGAUACUGGACGGCUUGAGUAUGGGAGAGGGAUGUAGAAUUCCAGGUGUAGCGGUGAAAUGCGUAGAUAUCUGGAGGAAUACCGGUGGCGAAGGCGGCAUCCUGGACCAUUACUGACGCUGAGGCGCGAAAGCUAGGGGAGCAAACGGGAUUAGAUACCCCGGUAGUCCUAGCCCUAAACGAUGAAUGCUUGGUGUGGCGGGUAUCGAUCCCUGCCGUGCCGAAGCUAACGCAUUAAGCAUUCCGCCUGGGGAGUACGGUCGCAAGGCUG
rnacentral:rRNA from 1 species